UACGUAGGGGGCAAGCGUUGUCCGGAGUUACUGGGCGUAAAGGGCUUGUAGGCGGUUCGGCGCGUUUUCGGUGCCAGCCCCCCGCUUAACGAGGGGAGUGCCGGGAAGACGGUCGGACUUGAGCACCUUAGAGGGACAUAGAAUUCCGGGUGGAGUGGUGAAAUGCGUAGAUAUCCGGAGGAAUACCAAAGGCGAAGGCGAGUGUCCUGGGAGGUGACUGACGCUGAGGAGCGAAAGCCAGGGGAGCGAACAGG
rnacentral:rRNA from 1 species